rnacentral:rRNA from 1 species
GAUGAACGCUGGCUGUGUGCCUAAUACAUGCAUGUCGAACGCUGCUAGCAAUAGCAGAGUGGCAAAUGGGUGAGUAACACGUACUUAACGUACCCCUUAGAUUGGUAUAACGACCAGAAAUGGUCGCUAAUUCCAAAUACUUGUAAGUCUCGCAUGAGAUUUACAUAAAAGGAGCCUUCAAGCUCCACUAAGGGAUCGGGGUGCGCAACAUUAGUUAGUUGGUGAGGUAAUGGCUCACCAAGACGAUGAUGUUUAGCGGGGUUGAGAGACUGAACCGCCACACUGGGACUGAGAUACGGCCCAGACUCCUACGGGAGGCAGCAGUAGGGAAUAUUCCACAAUGAGCGAAAGCUUGAUGGAGCGACACAGCGUGCUUGAUGAAGGCCUUCGGGUUGUAAAGAGCUGUGGUAAGGGAAGAAAAAGUAGUACAGGAAAUGGUAUUACCUUGACGGUACCUUACUAAAAAGCAACGGCUAACUAUGUGCCAGCAGCCGCGGUAAUACAUAGGUUGCAAGCGUUAUCCGGAAUUAUUGGGCGUAAAGCGUCUGUAGGUUGUGUGUUAAGUCUGGCGUUAAAUUUUGGGGCUCAACCCCAACACGCGUUGGAUACUGGCAUACUAGAGUUAUGUAGAGGUUAGCGGAAUUCCUUGUGAAGCGGUGAAAUGCGUAGAUAUAAGGAAGAACACCAAAAUGGCGAAGGCAGCUAACUGGACAUACACUGACACUGAGAGACGAAAGCGUGGGGAGCAAACAGGAUUAGAUACCCUGGUAGUCCACGCCGUAAACGAUGAUCAUUAGCUGAUGGGGGAACUUCAUCGGCGCAGCUAACGCAUUAAAUGAUC